CCCCCACCACCAUAUGAAUGAACAUGCACACUCAUGUAUACUUGCGUGCCCCACACCUUUACGCACACACACAUGUGACCACACCCCUGCCGCCUGGCUCAGCUGCUCUCGGAGGGGAAAGCCAGGUCUGGAGCAGGGCUGAACCACCCCCCGACUCCAGGCCGGAGCCUCUCAGAACGCUCUGUCUGGACGACCUCAGACUCCUGAGCAGGAGCCCCAGUGCCCAAGCGCCCGGCCCCGAAGACACCCACAAACAGGUGGACAGCCCCUUGCAGCUCCCAACCUGAAGGUGGACAGCCCACAGGCUUCACUACUUGUCCUGAAAUGACCCGGAUCCCUCCAGAGCACCACAGCUGCGGGCGCCACACCAGAAACAUAUCUGGUCCCGGGGAGUGCUUUGCUGUCCAAUUCCAAAAGCCCCUUCCUGAGGAGUAAAUAAAACUGGGGGGGGGGGUGUCUUUGGGGCCCUGAUAACUGCCAGAGAGUCAGUAGGCAGGGGCAUGCACCCUGCAGCACGGACGCCCUGACGCCCUUCAGGACGCGAGCGGCUUCUGCCAGGGGCCGCCCAUGCCCCGGCAAGGCCCACAUCAGCACUUCUCAAACUCAGGGUGCAGAAGCAGCUCCAAGGACCCCGCUGCCCCGCAGAUACGCGCGGGUGUGGGGGCGGGAGGUGGGGGACGCCGCUGGGCAGCCUGAGGCUGAGGGGCAGGGGCACGAUUCGGUUCCAGCUGUCAGCCUUGGUCAUGUCUCACACGUUCAAAACCCCCAUCCACACCAGGCAGGAUGGGGAGCACCCACAACGGAAGAUCGUGAUUCUAACAGGAGAGGGACACGACCACUCCAAGGUGGCUGUGGACGAGAACAGAAGCACCGGGGGGGCCUCUGGUCAGCGAGGGGUUUCUCUCAGGGGUGUGGCCAGCAAUUCUGAGCGCCUUGUGCAAACACAAGCAAAGAUGGGAGUGUGUGCGGCAGGCUUCUGCGGUCAAAGUUCCAAAUGAGGAGAGGGAGCCUGAUGACAGCAAGUGGUGGUUUCUGGCGCUCGGGGGACAAACACCCACAGGUCCACGCUGACAUAAACGACGGAGUAAGAAAAAGGAAACGGAGGGAAGGAACUCUUCAACGGAACUGCACAUGGGAAAUCACCACGAAUAUUGUCACCAGGAGAUUCACGGAGGGACACGGAGGUCGGGCCAAAGCAUGACCAUGUUUGCGGGUGAUGCUGGCAGUCUUACGAUUUUUUCCGACAGGACAUACAACAGAGGAGGAAAAUGAGACUUUCUGGGGGAGAUGCCUGGCCCACACCACCUGUCCUAGGUGAGUAGGACAGUGACACCGUGCACCUGGUGUGAGGCACUGAGGACACAAUACCACUUCUGUGGGGUUCACGCCUACAGCUGUGACCUCAAUGUCAUCGUGUGAAAACGUCCCAUCAGCCCAAGUGGCAAGCCGGUCUGCAAAACAGCUGGCCGGCAGGCCUCAGGGUCACCCAGGCGUCAGAGACAGAUGGGAGGGAUGGUCCCGGGUUGGGUGGACGGAGGCAGGGCAAGCAAACAGCUGUCAGGGUGGUUUCCUGACACAGCGGGUUACGUGCGGUUCACUAGGAAGGAGACGCAAAGGGCGCGGUAAACACAAGCGUAUACAGACCGUG